AACGAACGCUGGCGGCAUGCCUAACACAUGCAAGUCGAACGAGACCUUCGGGUCUAGUGGCGCACGGGUGCGUAACGCGUGGGAACCUGCCCUUAGGUUCGGAAUAACUCCCCGAAAGGGGUGCUAAUACCGGAUAAUGUCUUCGGACCAAAGAUUUAUCACCUUUGGAUGGGCCCGCGUUGGAUUAGCUAGUUGGUAGGGUAAAAGCCUACCAAGGCGACGAUCCAUAGCUGGUCUGAGAGGAUGAUCAGCCACACUGGGACUGAGACACGGCCCAGACUCCUACGGGAGGCAGCAGUGGGGAAUAGUGGACAGUGGGCGAAAGCCUGAUCCAGCAAUGCCGCGUGAGUGAUGAAGGCAUUAGGGUUGUAAAGCUCUUUUACCCGGGAUGAUAAUGACAGUACCGGGAGAAUAAGCUCCGGCUAACUCCGUG
rnacentral:rRNA from 1 species